rnacentral:rRNA from 1 species
UUAAAUCAGUUAUCGUUUAUUUGAUAGUACCUUACUACUUGGAUAACCGUGGUAAUUCUAGAGCUAAUACAUGCUGAAAACCCCAACUUCGGGAGGGGUGUAUUUAUUAGAUAAAAAACCAACGCCCUUCGGGGCUUCUUGGUGAUUCAUGAUAACUUUACGGAUCGCAUGGCCUUGCGCCGGCGACGGUUCAUUCAAAUUUCUGCCCUAUCAACUUUCGAUGGUAAGGUAUUGGCUUACCAUGGUUUCAACGGGUAACGGGGAAUUAGGGUUCGAUUCCGGAGAGGGAGCCUGAGAAACGGCUACCACAUCCAAGGAAGGCAGCAGGCGCGCAAAUUACCCAAUCCCGACACGGGGAGGUAGUGACAAUAAAUACUGAUACAGGGCUCUUUUGGGUCUUGUAAUUGGAAUGAGUACAAUUUAAACCUCUUAACGAGGAACAAUUGGAGGGCAAGUCUGGUGCCAGCAGCCGCGGUAAUUCCAGCUCCAAUAGCGUAUAUUAAAGUUGUUGCAGUUAAAAAGCUCGUAGUUGAACCUUGGGUCUGGCUGGCAGGUCCGCCUCACCGCGUGUACUUGUCCGGCCGGGCCUUCCUUCUGGAGAACCUCAUGCCCUUCACUGGGCGUGUUGGGGACCAGGACUUUUACUUUGAAAAAAUUAGAGUGUUCAAAGCAGGCCUUUGCUCGAAUACGUUAGCAUGGAAUAAUAGAAUAGGACGUGCGGUCCUAUUUUGUUGGUUUCUAGGACCGCCGUAAUGAUUAAUAGGGACAGUCGGGGGCAUCAGUAUUCAAUUGUCAGAGGUGAAAUUCUUGGAUUUAUUGAAGACUAACUACUGCGAAAGCAUUUGCCAAGGAUGUUUUCAUUAAUCAGUGAACGAAAGUUAGGGGAUCGAAGACGAUCAGAUACCGUCGUAGUCUUAACCGUAAACUAUGCCGACUAGGGAUCGGGCGAUGUUCUUUUU